CCUACGGGGGGCAGCAGUAGGGAAUCUUCCACAAUGGGCGAAAGCCUGAUGGAGCAACGCCGCGUUGGUGAAGAAGGUCUUCGGAUCGUAAAACCCUGUUGUUAGAGAAGAAAGUGCGUGAGAGUAACUGUUCACGUUUCGACGGUAUCUAACCAGAAAGCCACGGCUAACUACGUGCCAGCAGCCGCGGUAAUACGUAGGUGGCAAGCGUUAUCCGGAUUUAUUGGUCGUAAAGGGAACGCAGGCGGUCUUUUAAGUCUGAUGUGAAAGCCUUCGGCUUAACCGGAGUAGUGCAUUGGAAACUGGGAGACUUGAGUGCAGAAGAGGAGAGUGGAACUCCAUGUGGAGCGGUGAAAGGCGGAGAUAUAUGGAAGAACACCAGUGGCGAAAGCGGCUCUAUGGUCUGUAACUGACGCGGAGGUUCGAAAGCGUGGGUAGCAAACAGGAUUAGAUACCCCUGUAGUC
rnacentral:rRNA from 1 species